UGAGUAACACGUAUCCAACCUGCCGUCUACUCUUGGCCAGCCUUCUGAAAGGAAGAUUAAUCCAGGAUGGCAUCAUGAGUUCACAUGUCCGCAUGAUUAAAGGUAUUUUCCGGUAGACGAUGGGGAUGCGUUCCAUUAGAUAGUAGGCGGGGUAACGGCCCACCUAGUCAACGAUGGAUAGGAGUUCUGAGAGGAAGGUCCCCCACAUUGGAACUGAGACACGGUCCAA
rnacentral:rRNA from 1 species